AAUACUAAAUCUCUAUCGUGACUAUGAAAUUACAUUACUUAUUAGACUAUUAUACCCCGUGUUGUUGGUGAUUGAUAGGAAAAAGGUAUCGAUCCGUAGAAAGGGAGGAGAGAAUUUCUGUCCCACUGAAAUAUGUAUAAGUAUUAACUAACUCAUAACUCAUGUCUCGAGAAUCCCGGUGUUCAACCUUUAUAGUUCCCAUCGUGAUUGUUAUUUAUUAUUCCCCUAACCCCUUGCGAAUUUAGUUUCAGUCACACCAUAAUUUCAACCUUAGCUCAGAAUUCGACAAAACCUUAAUCUCUAUUCGAAUUUAUGCGUUUUUCAUUAAUUCUAGUGUGACUAGGUGGGAACAAACAAGUGUAGACCUAUAAAGCUGGUGAACGCUUGAGGUUACACAACAACCAACGCGUCUGAUGUAGAUUGUCUUUAUAACUAUAUAAGACAUCGGAGACGUUCGCAUUUCGUGCAAAUCUACCUUUCGACCUCUCUCGCACAUUUCUUGAAUUUUUUACGUUCACUGAAAUCACCACUGUUGCGCAUAUAACUAACCAUCCUAAGAGAAGAUACACUGGUUCUCUAUCUACAAUUGCUUAAUUAAAGUUAACCGUUUCAUCAUUGUUGCAAGAUAAGAAAGAAUAAUCCCAGUACUAUAAUCUAUUCAUUGGUGG